GCGUAAUAAAGCGUUUGUUCCUGCGUUUUUGGAGCAGUUUUAAGGAACUUUAUCAUGCUCUCACGUCACGCUCACAAACCACGCCCACGUCAACAUGAGACACUAGUUUCAAUGAAUGUCAAACGAAAUUAGGUUCUUUUUUCCAGUAUGGAACAUACAAAAGAAAAAAAAAAAAAAGAAAAAAAACAAGUCACAGUUUGUCAGUUUGAGCGUGGGCCUCUUUAUAAUAUAACUUUGAAUUAUGCCAGUUAUCUUUAUUUGGUACCGACCUCACUAACAUUUGGAUUCAGCCUUUGUGAAGAUUUUAGACGACCCCAACACCUGUGAAGAGAUGAGGACAACACCUGCGAGGACUUCACAUGACACCAACUCUGAAUCAACAUGCAAAAUUAUCCUUAUAUUAUAAUCGUUAUGGCCACAAUAUGUAAUUGCCUUAAUAUAUUUCUGCUUAACUGAAUGAUGCUAACUAACCAUUCUAUUAUCAAAGAACCAUAUAUUUUUGCCAUAUGAACAUUACAUUGAGAGUUAUUUCUGACAUAACAGAUUUCUCUUCAUAGUAAUGUAUACACGCAUUUUAUGUAAUGCUGCUUUGAAACUAGGCCUACAGUAUAUGUGUUGUUAAAAGGGCUUUUUGUGAUUUUGCACCUGUUAACUAUGCAUAUGUUUGUUGAUCAUUCCUUUAAAUAAAUAUUCUGAUAUAUAUUUCAAA